rnacentral:rRNA from 1 species
GGACGGGUGAGUAACGCGUGGAUAACCUGCCGUAUACCGGGGGAUAACACUUAGAAAUAGGUGCUAAUACCGCAUAAGCGCACGGCUCCGCAUGGGGCAGUGUGAAAAACUCCGGUGGUAUACGAUGGAUCCGCGUCUGAUUAGCUAGUUGGCGGGGUAACGGCCCACCAAGGCAGCGAUCAGUAGCCGGCCUGAGAGGGUGGACGGCCACAUUGGGACUGAGACACGGCCCAAACUCCUACGGGAGGCAGCAG